rnacentral:misc_RNA from 1 species
UUUCCGUAGGUGAACCUGCGGAAGGAUCAUUACUGAGUGAGGGCCCUCGGGGUCCAACCUCCCACCCGUGUUUAUUGUACCUAGUUGCUUCGUCGAGCCCGCCUCCCGCCGGGCGGGGUGCAUCUGCCCCGGUUCCGCUCUCACCGAAGACACCCUUUAACUCUGUCUGAAAUUUGCAGUCUGAACGAAAACUAAAUAAGUUAAAACUUUCAACAACGGAUCUCUUGGUUCCG